GUGGUCUGCAACUCGACCACACGAAGCUGGAAUCGCUAGUAAUCGCGAAUCAGCAUGUCGCGGUGAAUACGUUCCCGGGUCUUGUACACACCGCCCGUCACACCAUGGGAGUCAGCAACGCCCGAAGUCAGUGACCUAACCGAAAGGAAGGAGCUGCCGAAGGCGGGGCAGGUAACUGGGGUGAAGUCGUAACAAGGUAUC
rnacentral:rRNA from 1 species